UACGUAGGUGGCAAGCGUUAUCCGGAAUACUGGGCGUAAAGCGCACGCAGGCGGUCUUGUAAGUUUGACGUGAAAGCUCCCGGCUUAACUGGGAGAGGUCGUUGGAAGACUGCAAGACUUGAGGAAAUGAGAGGGGUGUAGAAUUCCCGGUGUAGCGGUGAAAUGCGCAGAUAUCGGGAGGAACACCAAUUGCGAAGGCAGCUUGCUGGGACGGUACUGACGCUGAGGCGCGAAAGCGUGGGGAGCAAACAGGG
rnacentral:rRNA from 1 species